ACACACAUUUUUAUACACCCACACAUAUUUUUUUUCUCUCUCUCAAAUACAUACACAAAAAAACACAAGAAAAAAUCUUUCUUCAUUUUUCAUUUUCUCUCCCCAAAAUACACAAAUGCAUAUGCAUAUUUUUCAAUCACACAUACAUUAUAUUCUUCUAUCUCUCCUCUCUCAAGAAUAAACAAAUACACACACAUUUUUAUUCUUCCUCUCUCUAAAAAAAUUCACACAUAUUUUUCACCUCUUUCUCCUCUCCCUCAAACACAAAAUUUGUUCAUCUUUUUUUUUUUUCUAAAAACACAUACAUAUACUCAAAAUAAAUACUCCGGCCGAUGAAACUAUCUUUCCGUCGGAUAUUUCAGGCCAUCCUGUGACAAAAGACGGAUUUUAUUUUGUCAAAUUUAUUAUUUUAUAUCAAAAGCCAACACAUGACCGAUGAAAUUAUCUCUCCAUCGGAUACUUGAGGCCACUCCAUUACAAAUGACGGACUUUAUUUUCAAAAGAUUACUAUUUUGUAUCAAAAUAAAUACUUGGCCAAUGAAAAAUUACCGUCGAUUUUCUAGGCCCCACAAAUAAAAUACGGAUAUUACGUAUAUAAAUAUGUAAUAAAAAAUUAAAUAUUUUGGGCGAUGACGAAAUCUUAAAAUUAUCACGACAACAAGAACGGUUUUAUGAUGCACAUCUUGACAAGACGAUUUAGAUGGCCGAUUAAUCGAGCAACCACUUCGUAGCCAUGGCGUAUCUAAAAUCUAAUCCGAGCCCACACUUUGAUAAAAUAUUUCUAUUUUUAUGUACAUAUGCACACAUAAUUUUUAGUUUAUUUUACUUUGUUACUAAUGUGUUUGUACAGAUUUUUCGAGAUUGUUUGUCGGAAAAUGACAUUCAAAAGAAGAAUCUUUUAUUUUUAUUAUUUUCUUGUAAUUGUACAUAUCAAAUAUAGUGAAAACUUUACCUUUUGGGGUGUUGGGCGGGAGUAUUCUUUAUCUACAUAAUACACGUUUAGGCAAAAC
rnacentral:lncRNA from 1 species